ACAAUCCGCGUCACCAGUGAAAAGAGCUUCAGUGUUACUGUCAUUGCUGACCGAACAGGAAUAUAUUCUGCUGUUUCUGCUGUUUCUGCUGUUUCUGGUGUUCUGGUGUUCUUGGUUGCAUCUGCUGUUUUUUAAUUUACUUCUGCAAGUGCCAUUCAAGAAGGAAAUACAUCAGGACGCAGCGAAGUCAUCAGGAAACUGGUGUUGAAGAAUCAUCCUCAAAUCAGAUUGAGCUUGUAGAGGCAAAGCCUCCUAAUGAACUGUCGUCAAAUCAGUCUGAGCUUGUAGUGACAAACACUCCUCAUGAAUCGUCAUCAAAUCAGACUGAGUCUGAGGCGGCCAGUGAGACAUUAACAUAACCCUGUUUUUUAUUUUGAUAUUUUAAUUGAAAAGAAUCAUUGAGAGGAGUUGUGAAACGAGAGAAGUGGAUAAAGCAAUCAUUGCACAAAGAGAAAUAGCUCAGAUAUAGCUUAUUAUAUUACAGAUUUAGAAUUCAGCAGACUAAAGAUAAUUAGGUUUUAAUUUAUUAAAAUAUAGUUUUUUUUUCUCAAAAAAAAAAAAUGUAUGAGAAAUAUAAUAAAAAUUAGAUUGAGCAAAAGUAAUCAUGAUGAUCAGUUAAACCAUUGUGCAGCGUGACUAAAUUUCAUGUUUUCUUUUCUAAAAUAGAAAACUAAAACUUAACUCCCCCAAAAAAGGGAUAAGAUAAUUACCCAGAUAGCAAAAUACACUCGGGCCAGAUCCGGCUAGUGUCUCGCCUGCCGGAGACUUUCCACUCGGCCCAACACGUCUGCCGCGCACUCGAGCCGGAUGCCUGUCGACUCGCUGCCCGAUUCCGAGUCAGUCGGGCUAGAUGCCACGACCGUCAGCGAGCUGACACUACUGCAUCCGAGCCGGUUCAUUUUUAACCCCUUAUCUACUUUACUCUUCACUAAUCUUUCAUUUAAAAUUGAUACGCAGGAAAAAUGAUUACUUUGAUUUUAAUUAUUAAUAUAUAAACGUCAUUAUGAUGAAUGCAUUUUAAAAGUAAAGAACUCAUUUGUUUAAGUUUGCAUUUAGUGAAAUUACCCUUGCAUUUGUUUAUACUUUAAAAUAUUUGUAAUUGUUUGUUUGUGGGGUCAUAGAUUUGUGGCUAAAGUUUCAAAUCCUGCAAGUGUUGAUCCAUGAAGUAUCACCAUAGUGUCUUUGAUCAAAACGCUGGGAACUGGAUCUCAGGAACUGAACCUGUAGUAACAGGAACUGCAAUAUCUGGACCAGAACAAAAUGCCAAAUAAGUGUUUUUUUUUUUUUUAAUAAAUAGUUUGUUAUAUAUUAACUUCUAAAUGUGUUACUUGAGACAUGAAAGUUUGUUUACUGUAAGUCAUUUUUACUGUUAUAACACAAAUAUGCACUUUGUUAUAAUGUUCAGAGGUUUGCUACUUUACCCUGAAUGUCUUCAUUUGAAAAAUUAUACUUUCUUUGUCAAUUGUUUUUCUUUUUUCCUUUGUAACUAAAGCUUUUUAGCUUUUUUAGCUGGAGUUAUAAGUACAGUGAGAUUUAGUAGGUGAAAUUUAUUAUGGUUCUGCUUUUGUAAAUGCUUUUAGAAAUGUUAUUUCAGUGUCACCCCUCACCAAAUUCAGUUCUGCAACCUCAGCAGAAAACCAAAACGUGCCUUGCACACUUAGUGCAAUAUUUUUAGAAACAUUUUUUUCCCUUUUGGUUUUCUUUUGCAGCAUCCAAAGAAAAUGUUUUUUUAAAGCCCUGUACAACUUUUGAUACAAUGUGUGUUGUAUAAAGCACUGCAUGGGGCUUUGUUAGUGCUGUUCAUUGAUUCGAGUAACUUUUUUGACAUUUGAGUAUAAAGUGUUUUAUUUCUACAAUA